CCUGUACUUACAGUUAGACUGAUGGAGUGACAAAGAAGGUUUUCCACCCCCAUAAUUGGAUUUGGGGAUAAAUCAUAAGGUGGUACAAUAGGCAAAUCCGUUGUGCAUAACAUUGAGUGAUGAUGUCGAGUGAAUGAGUGAUCAAGUAGCGAAGGUGGUAUUAAUCAUGCUUUCAAGAAAAGCUUCUAGGGUUAAUCUAGCUGUAACCAGUACCGAGAACGAACACACGUAGUCAAGGAGAGGAUCCUAAGGUUAGCGAGUGAACUAUAGCCAAGGAACUCUGCAAAUUAACCCCGUAAGUUAGCGAGAAGGGGUGCUUAUGUAAAAGUAAGCCGCAGUGAAGAACGAGGGGGGACUGUUUAACUAAAACACAACUCUAUGCCAAACCGUAAGGUGAUGUAUAUGGGGUGACACCUGCCCAGUGCUGGAAGGUUAAAGAAGGAGGUUAG
rnacentral:rRNA from 1 species